AACGAACGCUGGCGGCAGGCUUAACACAUGCAAGUCGAACGCACCUUUCGGGGUGAGUGGCAGACGGGUGAGUAACGCGUGGGAAUCUACCCUUCUCUACGGGAUAGCUCCGGGAAACUGGAAUUAAUACCGUAUACGUCCUGAGGGAGAAAGAUUUAUCGGGGAAGGAUGAGCCCGCGUUGGAUUAGCUAGUUGGUGGGGUAAAGGCCUACCAAGGCGACGAUCCAUAGCUGGUCUAAGAGGAUGAUCAGCCACAUUGGGACUGAGACACGGCCCAAACUCCUACGGGAGGCAGCAGUGGGGAAUAUUGGACAAUGGGCGCAAGCCUGAUCCAGCCAUGCCGCGUGAGUGAUGAAGGCCCUAGGGUUGUAAAGCUCUUUCAGUGGGGACGAUAAUGACGGUACCCUCAGAAGAAGCCCCGGCUAACUUCGUG
rnacentral:rRNA from 1 species